rnacentral:rRNA from 1 species
AUCCCGGGGGUUCGCCUCCGGGUGAGAGUGGCGAACGGGUGAGUAAUGCGUGACCGACCUGCCCCAUACACCGGAAUAGCUCCUGGAAACGGGUGGUAAUGCCGGAUGCUCCGGUUGGAUGCAUGUCCUUCCGGGAAAGAUUCCAUCGGUAUGGGAUGGGGUCGCGUCCUAUCAGCUUGAUGGCGGGGUAACGGCCCACCAUGGCUUCGACGGGUAGCCGGCCUGAGAGGGCGACCGGCCACAUUGGGACUGAGAUACGGCCCAGACUCCUACGGGAGGCAGCAGUGGGGAAUAUUGCACAAUGGGCGCAAGCCUGAUGCAGCGACGCCGCGUGCGGGAUGGAGGCCUUCGGGUUGUAAACCGCUUUUGAUCGGGAGCAAGCCCUUCGGGGUGAGUGUACCCUUCGAAUAAGCACCGGCUAACUACGUGCCAGCAGCCGCGGUAAUACGUAGGGUGCAAGCGUUAUCCGGAAUUAUUGGGCGUAAAGGGCUCGUAGGCGGUUCGUCGCGUCCGGUGUGAAAGCCCAUCGCUUAACGGUGGGUCUGCGCCGGGUACGGGCGGGCUGGAGUGCGGUAGGGGAGACUGGAAUUCCCGGUGUAACGGUGGAAUGUGUAGAUAUCGGGAAGAACACCAAUGGCGAAGGCAGGUCUCUGGGCCGUCACUGACGCUGAGGAGCGAAAGCGUGGGGAGCGAACAGGAUUAGAUACCCUGGUAGUCCACGCCGUAAACGGUGGAUGCUGGAUGUGGGGCCCGUUCCACGGGUUCCGUGUCGGAGCUAACGCGUUAAGCAUCCCGCCUGGGGAGUACGGCCGCAAGGCUAAAACUCAAAGAAAUUGACGGGGGCCCGCACAAGCGGCGGA